CCUACGGGAGGCAGCAGUGAGGAAUAUUGGUCAAUGGUCGGGAGACUGAACCAGCCAAGCCGCGUGAGGGAUGAAGGUACAGAGUAUCGUAAACCUCUUUUGUCAGGGAACAAAGGCGGGGACGUGUCCCCGGAUGAGUGUACCUGAAGAAAAAGCAUCGGCUAACUCCGUGCCAGCAGCCGCGGUAAUACGGAGGAUGCGAGCGUUAUCCGGAUUUAUUGGGUUUAAAGGGUGCGCAGGCGGUCUGUUAAGUCAGCGGUCAAAGCCCGGGGCUCAACCCCGGCCCGCCGUUGAAACUGGCAGGCUCGAGUUGGAGAGAAGUAUGCGGAAUGAGCGGUGUAGCGGUGAAAUGCAUAGAUAUCGCGAAGAACUCCGAUUGCGAAGGCAGCAUGCCGGCUCCACACUGACGCUGAGGCACGAAAGCGUGGGUAUCGAACAGGAUUAGAUACCCGGGUAGUC
rnacentral:rRNA from 1 species